GCGAAGGCAGUCGCGCAACUGAAGUAAGGUUUGAAAGUCCAACGUUCCUGCCUUUGAUUUACCAUCUGCUCUGACCAGAGCAUCUUCGACAUCACUGUGGCGACUGUUACCUAUCGCGUUGAGAUCCAGCUCAGAAAACUUUAGCAGAAUUUUCUGCAAGACGUCUUCUGUUUUACUGUUGAUGAAGGUUCCGAAGAUGGACUCAAUGGCCGUGGCAGUGUGCUGGCCAAUCCCAUCAGUAUUCUUGCCCUGGUCCAUGGACAUCAUUCUCACCCUUAUCAGAUCCCUACAGCGCAGAUACCCUCGAAAUGCCACCACGGAUGCUUGAUAUUUAUUCGAACCGCUCUGGUUCAUUUGCUUUAGGAUUAAGUUUAUCCUUUCCAAGGUAAAAGACCACCAGCCAUAGCAUGGCCCGAAGUGACGAACAUCCCUGGUGAAAUGUGUCAGUACCCAGUACGCCAAGCGGAGCUAUCAAGUCAUAAUCAAUUAUAAUUUUCCAUUUCAUCAACACUGCCUACUUACAUCUCCUCCUCAAGUAUGCGCUGGCCUUCAAGGUGGAUACGUCCGGGUCGAAGUGAGAACUCUAUGCCUUAAAGGGUCAACGUUAUAAGAAGGAUAAAGGCCGCAACAAUAAUCACCGCUGACUGGCUACUUACUGCAAAACAGGAGGCGUCAUUCCUACUGCCGACGAACCACUCUUGCCAUCUUCCUCUUGGCAUCUUCUCUCUCCGCAGACCCUUUAGCAGGUAGGCUGAUGGCAUUCGUUAUUGCAGGUGUAUCUAAAAUAGCCUCCAAUACACGCGCGGUACAUCGGACAACGUGGCCCUGAGAGACGCCAAAGGUUUCGGAGAUCUGCCGGAGCGGGGAUGCGUUGCCCGAGUGACCCAUUCGAUAGAGGAAAAGGAUGAGCUGCUGAUCUGGGGAAGUCUGAGGGAUGUCGCCUCUGCCCUGGAAGACAGGAUGGCCUCUGACAUGACUGAGAAUGCGGGCGAAUGUCCAGAGACAUACGCGAACGUCAUCGCGAAAGGUUUCCGGCCUUGAAUGGCACCAGUGCUGAAGAGGCAAAUCGAAACGUCCGCCUGCUUCGGGAAUGCCCUUCCUCUGCCACAGGUCUCAUUGGCGAGAGAUGCUCGAGGUAAUAGUUGACAGAAAAAUGCAGUCCAUCUAUGUCCUCUCCCAUAUCUUCAUCGACCAGAUGGGUAAAGGACAGAUUGGCGGGUGAAAGAGAAGAGUUGGGGUUGGGGAGAAGGUAAGUAUCGCCAUCAAAUUUUCCAAGUCAUUUGUUCCUUCUACGAUUUCGGAGGGAGGGGCAGGGGAAGGCAAGGAAUUGCAAGAGGAGAGUCGAAUUGAACGGAGAUGAGCCAAAUCUUCGGCUGCAUCGACGUCUGUUCUUUCUUCAUGUAUGAGGGAAUCGAUUGCUUCGACUCAUAGAAAUCCUCGAGGCAUGGCUGAUGGCAAUAAUGAUUGCUUCGCUGUAGUAUUGUGCUUGGAUCGAUGGUCCGGAGUAGCGUAGUGCAUAUAGUGAUAAGCGAAGAUCGAUGGGAAGCAGCGGAACGGGUUGCAUAGACGGAGAUUUCCCAACUCCGAGGCCCAGAAAUCGGCCUAAUGUCACCUGAGACCCCUCUAAUAUACAUCAGUUGUAGGACGCAAAAGUCCGUGUGUACAGGAAAUAGAUUCCAUCCCGGAUUCCUGUGGCGACAGGAUAGGACUCAAAGAUACACAGUGUAAAUGCACAACAAGAAGUUAUCAUCAACACAGCAGCUAAGCUUGGUCUUAUGGCUUGGCUGCACUUGGCUAACUAUAUCCUUUGCCAAAACAUCGAUGAUUUACCUUCGAAACCCAAGUAUUCAAUUGUCCUUUUGGAACAGGCGUUGAACUCUUAUCUUAUCACUGCUUAUUAUGAAACUUAUCGCUCGCAGAAAGGCUGAGCGAAGGAGUGGGGGAUUUGAGAACAAAUAUAUACUGUGUACAUAUGUGUAGAUCAAUAGUAACUGGACCAAGUACUUUUUCACAAUUCGUCCAUACCUUCACUCCAACGCCGUUGCCUAUGACUGCUU
rnacentral:sRNA from 1 species